AUGCACACACCUUCCUCAAGCCGGCCUCUGAGUGGGGGAGGCUUGGGGCAUUCGGAUCGUCUGUUCAGGGAGCAGAAUCAGCUUCUCGAGCCGCAGCGAGAGUCGAGAGUCGCCACACACGGGAAGAUCAGAUGCCUCUCGAGGUGCUCGGGACCUGGGAGUCCCAGAUGCAGGGCGGCGUGUCCACUAACCAGCUGGAGUGGAUACAGCGUGGCAAUGUCACUACACUCUCCCACAUCCCGGAGCGCAAGAGCUGCGUGUCAGCCCCGCCGGAGGCCCACAGCGAGGAAACGCUCCGAGCCGCCGUUUUUUCUGGGCGUGUGCGCAGCCCAGCAAACUGUUUUCUAAAGGCUUUGAUCUCACAAGUGGUCAAGUUGGCAUUUUUUGAGCCUUCAGCUUCUCCCUUCGAGGGCGGGCGUCACGGUGGCAGUCCCAGGUGUGCCCGCUAGAUGGCGCCGGGAAACCAGGUUGUGGUCACAGGUGCGCGCCCUUCGCCCCUCCUCCACAGGGCUUGACCUGGCCCCUUCCCGGCCCCUUCCUGCCAGUUCCCCGGGUGUGGG
rnacentral:lncRNA from 1 species